rnacentral:rRNA from 1 species
AGCGUAGACGGAUGGACAAGUCUGAUGUGAAAGGCUGGGGCUCAACCCCGGGACUGCAUUGGAAACUGCCCGUCUUGAGUGCCGGAGAGGUAAGCGGAAUUCCUAGUGUAGCGGUGGAAUGCGUAGAUAUUAGGAGGAACACCAGUGGCGAAGGCGGCUUACUGGACGGUAACUGACGUUGAGGCUCGAAAGCGUGGGGAGGCAAAACA